UGAAGAAUAGCUCAUUUGGUAGAGCAUGAGACUCUUAAUCUCAGGGUUGUGGGUUCGAGACCUAUGUUGGGUCAU